rnacentral:rRNA from 1 species
AACGAACGCUGGCGGCGUGCCUAAUACAUGCAAGUAGAACGCAGUUGCGAACGGGUGAGUAACGCGUAGGUAACUGCCUCAUAGCGGGGGGUAACUAUUGGAAACGCUAGCUACUACCGCAUACUGUGAGAUGGACCUGAGUUGUAUUAGCUAGUUGGUGCGGUAAAGGCUCACCAGGGCGACGAUACAUAGCCGACCUGAGAGGGUGGACGGCCAAACUGGGAAUUGGAAACGGGCCAGACUCCUACGGGAGGCAGCAGGUGGGAAUCUUCGGCAAUGGAGGGAAGUCUGACCGAGCAACGCCGCGGGAGUGAAGAAGGGUUUCGGGGCGUAAAGCUCUUUUGUGAGAGAAGCGGUAACUAACGAGGAAGGGACGGCUAACUACGUGCCAGCAGCCGCGGUAAUAC